rnacentral:rRNA from 1 species
UACGAAGGGGGCUAGCGUUGCUCGGAAUCACUGGGCGUAAAGGGUGCGUAGGCGGGUCUUUUAAGUCAGGGGUGAAAUCCUGGAGCUCAACUCCAGAACUGCCUUUGAUACUGAAGAUCUUGAGUUCGGGAGAGGUGAGUGGAACUGCGAGUGUAGAGGUGAAAUUCGUAGAUAUUCGCAAGAACACCAGUGGCGAAGGCGGCUCACUGGCCCGGUACUGACGCUGAGGUGCGAAAGCUAGGGGAGCAAACGGG